rnacentral:lncRNA from 1 species
UACCCAAAUGAUGGCCCCCGUCAUUCAGCAGAGUAGGGAUGACAACCACGGAUUAUUCUAGACAGUCCUGUGGAACACCAGCAAGCUCACAACUUGUAGGUGUUGUGGACUUGAUGUUCACCGGUGUACUCUAAAAACCAUGUUAGCUAUAGAUUUAGUGCCUCGUAAUAAUACGAUGGUAGCUAUGGAUUUAGUACAGUGUAGAUGAACCUUGGUAACUAUGGAAUUAGUAUUGUUAAAUGAACCUUGGUGACUAUGGAGUUAGCGCCAGUUAAGUGAACCUUGGUGACUAUGGAGUUAGCGCCAAUUAAGUGAACCUUGGUGACUAUGGUGUUGGUGCCUAUUAAGUGAAACCUGGUGACUAUGGAGUUAGCGCCUGAUAGCUAUGGAUUUAGUACCUGGUAGAUAAACUUUGGCAGCAAUGGACUUCGUGCCAAUUCUUUAGGUAAAUCCUUAGGAACGAAUGAAGGAAGGAUAAUCAAUUCUUAGGGUAAAACCUUAAGAAAUAAAGAAGAUAAUGGGGAUGGGUAAUUGGGUUGAUUGUUUGAUGAUUGAAUAUAAUAAAUAUAUUAUUAUGGGUUGAAAACCCUAUAUGCUCACCAGGCUCCCAAGUCUGACCCACUAAGUUUUCUUUGUAUCACUGGUAUCAAUACGAAGACAUAUUUCACUAAGAGAUUAAAGGAGAUGUAAAUCAUUAGUGUAAAUAAAUGUAAGUUCUGUUUAUGCUUAUGUGUCUGUAUCGGAACAUGACAUCCCGAGAUUUUGUUAUAUAAUGAAAAUACAUUUCUUUAAAGAAAUGCUUUGAUAAAUUCUUAUCAUAUUUUGUUUUGGGAACAAAAUCCGCAACAGUUUUCUUUAAACGAUUACUCUGAUUUUAAAAACAAAGCAUAAACAAAUCGGUCUUUUAUGGCCGUGAAAUUGGGGAUGUCACAGUUGGUAUCAGAGCAUUAGUUUAAGAGAACUAGGAAUUUGUAGGAUUUCUAGACUCAAACUUAGAAUGGUAAGCGAUGAUAGUGAGAUGAGUGUCUACCAUAUUUUAAGACACGAGCACUAGCAUAUUUUCGGAAAGUUGCCUAAAAUGUUUUUAUGUGCUAAAUGUUAUAUGUUUGCCAUAUAUGAUACUAUUUGUUCGGAUCUAUGGUUUGUUGCCGACCUGGUCUGGAAACCUUAUUUUUUUAGGAUUCUAAGCGUAUGACUAUGAUAUUAGAACUAGCAUGUAAAAAUUUCGGAGUGAUAAGGAGAUUUAUACGUCUAUCAUAAAUAAAACUUUUUAUCUUAAAUUCUCUCCCGAUACACCGAACGUCUGCUUGGGUGUGCAAAACGUUAUGGAGAAGAAUCGUAGAUAAUUGAGUAAAUGGAGGAAAUGAAAGGCUUAUGAUAGUGAAUGACGCCUAUCGGAAGAUAUCGUAAGAGUGGUAUCUUACCUUUAGAAUAUGUUUGAUAAAAUAACAGAACGUUUAGAGGAGUACGGUACGUCUGAAGUACACCUUCGAUUGUUAGGAUGAUGGAAUGAUUGGUGUAAUUCUUGAACUUGUCCCAUAAUCUGGAAUUUCCAUCACCAACCGGGUUGAAGCAUGAUUGAUGAUAGAAGAUACGCAUGGAAGAAGUCCUAGUAGAGUCUAGGAAAAAUUUUAUGAUUAAUUGGACACAUUCGUAUGUGUUAAAUUGUUUUGUGAUUUUAGGACUUGGGGACUGCGAGACAAUACUUAGGAUGAGUAUGAGUAGGUGUGAAUAGUAGUAGAGAUCUAUACUACUGAAAGCACAGGACUCACACUUGGAUCAGGGAAAGUCACAAGGUUACCAAGAAGCUAGUAAUUGAUUCCGUUUUGUUCAAAGUAUGUCAUUACCAUUGUUUCGGUAAUGACUAGUCGGAUGAUUGUUAUUCCGACCCUAGUGGUCAUAUCAAUUGAGUCCGAAUACGAUAGGUUUGUUACGUGGUUCUGAGAACCGAGUUCGAUGUAACAUCUGACCUAAGUCAGAAGAUUGAAAUCAAUGCGAUCGAUAGCAUCGCGCUCGUUGUUAAGGAAGCUUGUAGCUAGAAAUGCUACAUGCAAAAAUGUGAUCAUGUCACAUUAGAAUAUGAAGGAAUGUAUAUUCCAUUAUGGAAUUUGUCUCUAAGAGACUUGAGUCUAAGCGUUGCAUCAUACGAUGAGAUGUCAUUAGAGCAUGACCCAUCGGUCUGUUACAAUAGAUAAAAGAAAGUAUUUAUCUUAAUAAGAAGAAUGAGUCCUCAAUAAGGAUUUAUUUUGUAACUCGUAGGUUACGAUUGAAAGUCCAACAUAGUACGGAGAGUAGGUGCAAGAUUGAGCAUCACCUGCAGUCAAGAAGUCCAAGAGUUAGACACUCAUUUGAAGAAACAUAUAAGUUACGAUUAUUACCUAGGAUGAAUAAUCAUAACCUAGUUGUAGUAUAUGUCACAAGGUUUCCAUGCAUAUAAAGAACGCCAAAAUUCGAGUUAUAACGAAGAGGUUAUGACAUGUCGAAGUUUAGCGACAGAACCGGCACGAGACAGCGCGGCGUAAAUAGUGAAUUUACGAUAGAGCGAUAUUUGGCCUUAGCGUUCUAAACAAAAGUCGUAGAAUAUGUUAAACCGAGAGUGUGCAUAAAAAGAACGUCCAAAUCUGCCUUCGUAUGAAGAAGUUAUGAUUUUUCUAAGUUUUAGCUUAGCGGUAUGCAACCUAAAGUUCGAAUAUGAGAUCGAGUGGUUUUAGCCAAAACAAUCUAAACGAGAAUCGAAGAUCUCGUCGAUAGUAGUGCAACAGAAGAAAGACAGACGAAAACGGAGUUCAAAUGAAGAAGUUAUGAAUUUAAAACGGAGUUUUCCUGUCCCGACCUACUAAAAAUAAUAUAAUAAAAAUAAAGUCAAAAUUAGCCGACGGAGUCUAAACGAAAGUUGUAGAGCAUAAUCUCACAUACGUGUGGAUAUAAAGAACGUCGAAAACAGAGAUCGUAUGCAAAAGAUAUGAAUUUCUGAAGUUCGAGGCACGUAUCCCAAAGACGGAACGCCCCGCGUUCAAUUAGGGAACGCCCCACGUUCAGUACAUGGCUCCGGAUUGGCCAUGUUGAUGCUGAAUCAGCGGAUAAGGGAAAGGAUCGGAACCCUGCUCCUAUGCGCUGCGUUCGGGGAACGCCCUGCGUUCCCAUAAGAAACGCACUGCAUUCGAGGCCGACUUCAACAAUAUAAAUAGAAGUCGUGGGUAGCCGAGUUUUGUUGCUCAUUUCUUCCUAUCUCUCCUGUUUUACUUCAUUUUAUGUGCAAACUUUACCCCCAAAACCCCGGUAUCAUUCCCGAGACCCGAAGCAAGUCCCGAAGCCCCGAGGAUCCCGAGAAGUAAAGUUUCCGAGCCGAAACUCUGUCCGCGUGAAGCCCGGUUUUUGGGAAAAUGUCCUGGUUUUAUUGGAAAAGAUUAUUUUAAGAGACGAGGUGCUGUCCGAUCAUCGUCUUAUCAGGUGAGUGUGUAGUUACUUUCUUCUACCGCAUACAUAUGAAGUAUUUGCUAUGAAAUACAUGUUAUGUGUUUAUACGUUGUUUGUUUAUGUGAGAUGGAUGUAGAAUGAAUGUUUUAUACAGGUUUUUAAAUGAUUUAAACUAUAUAUGUAAUUUAUAUCUACAAAUAUGUUGGGUAGAACAUGGAUAGAUGAAACAGUUGGUGUGUGAGGAAAGAUUAGUUUGAGGAUGAGACAAAAGAUGAUAUAGAUCAUGAGAUGAGGGUGACAGGUCAAAAAUGAGUGAAACCUUUACCCAAACGAUGGCCCCCGUCAUUCAGCAGAGUAGGGAUGACAACCACGGAUUAUUCUAGACAGUCCUGUGGAACACUAGCAAGCUCACAACUUGUAGGUGUUGUGGACUUGAUGUUCACCGGUGUACUCUAAAAACCAUGUUAGCUAUAGAUUUAGUGCCUCGUAAUAAUACGAUGGUAGCUAUGGAUUUAGUACAGUGUAGAUGAACCUUGGUAACUAUGGAAUUAGUAUUGUUAAAUGAACCUUGGUGACUAUGGAGUU